CCUACGGGGGGCAGCAGUGGGGAAUAUUGCACAAUGGGCGCAAGCCUGAUGCAGCCAUGCCGCGUGUGUGAAGAAGGCCUUCGGGUUGUAAAGCACUUUCAGCGGGGAGGAAGGCGGUGAGGUUAAUAACCUCAUCGAUUGACGUUACCCGCAGAAGAAGCACCGGCUAACUCCGUGCCAGCAGCCGCGGUAAUACGGAGGGUGCAAGCGUUUAAUCGGAAUUACUGGGCGUAAAGCGCACGCAGGCGGUCUGUCAAGUCGGAUGUGAAAUCCCCGGGCUCAACCUGGGAACUGCAUUCGAAACUGGCAGGCUAGAGUCUUGUAGAGGGGGGUAGAAUUCCAGGUGUAGCGGUGAAAUGCGUAGAGAUCUGGAGGAAUACCGGUGGCGAAGGCGGCCCCCUGGACAAAGACUGACGCUCAGGUGCGAAAGCGUGGGGAGCAAACAGGAUUAAUACCCGAGUAGUC
rnacentral:rRNA from 1 species